rnacentral:lncRNA from 1 species
AGUGAGUUUGGGGUCAAAUGGUGUUAUUGUCCGAUUAUGUGGGUAAGUGGUAAGGAUUAGGUGCUCUUCUGGGGCGUAAGCUAUGAAUCAUGACUGUUAUAAGCAUGAACCCUUUAUCAGGAUACUUGGAAGAAAUAGAUAUGUACGUCGGGUAGGAAUCUCUAAUAUGGGUGAUUUACUCUUGGGACCGUUCGACUGGAGUUGUGAAUUGUUUUAUUGUGGAUUCUUGUACUUGGGUACCAAAUAGUGGAGAGCGCUAGAAUAAGGGUUUGUAUCUUGAUUGCAUUUGAGGUGAGUUUUGAUGGCAAAGGUUAAGGCGUGGAUGAUUCUAACACUUGACUUAGUUAAUGGACUGAUUGAGGGAAUGGAUCUCGGAAGUUAUCAUGGACUAAUCUAGAAAUAGUCUAUUAGGGUUUCUAUAGACGGUGGCUAGAUUGUAGCGUACGUCAAAAAAUUUGCAGUGAAGACCUAUUUCCUUCUCCUAUGACUGUGAAGACUUGAUAAGUGUUUAUUUUGAAUGUGAGGCGGUUUGAUUGCAACUAUAUGGAUAUUUCUACCCCUCUUGUGAUAUUCUUUCCUAUACUUCCUUGACACCUAUCCACUAAUGUCUAAGUAUGGACUUGACUCGAUUUUUAUCGUGGCGAGAUUGUGAGUUUUGUAAUUAUGCAUAGGGAUUUGAAAAAAGAAUUGGGUUCUAUACCUAUAUGCAAGAGUUUGAGAUAGGAUGUGAAACUUUCGACAUACAAAGUAAGAUUUAGGGAUUCGUUAUGUAUAUAAGUGGCAAUGGUACUCCU